CCGGGCGGAGGACGGAGCCGGAUGGGCGCGGGGGGCCCGUCGAGUGUAAAUAGCGGCGUUGCCUGGAUCCCUGCCUGCUCGGAGAAGGACCCUGCGGGAUGCUCGGAGCAGGGACCCUAAGCCAGCAGCACUCUGGGCCCCGGGAGAGGAAGCCCUCGCCUCCCGGACUGGCUGACCAGCAUCUUCCUCGUUCCUGCCCCGCGUCGGCGCCAGCCCCUGGGGACACCGGGGCCCCUUCGCCGCGCGACCGCUGCAGCGACGGAGCCCCUUCCCCUCCGCUCUCCGGCGCCCCUUGCAUCUGCCCUUGCCUCGCUCCAGGGCUCGCCAGCCUCCGGCCUUCCCACGCGCCCAGCCGAAAAGCUCAGCUCCUGGGGAAACCCGACCCGGCCCCCGAACUGCAUCUGUCGCCGGCCCUGCUCUUGUCCCCGCUCCUCUCUGCGUGACCGGCCGCCUCGUCCCCAGGCUGCACGAUGCUCCCGGGGAGGAUGGCGGAUGCGGCGGAGGGGCUGCAAGCGCCCCCGGACUUCCUCCGGGUCCGAACAAAAGCACAAGGGACUCUGGCCCCCAGCUGUCACCCGCCGUCCCCCCCUGCCGCCGGGCGCGGCUGGCACGUGGCCACGGCGGGACUCGAACCCCCGGACUUGGACGCAGCCUGGCCACGCUGCUUGGAGCGAGCGGGCGGAGGAGCCCGGCGCCCCGGCGCCUCCGUCUCCCUGAGGAUAUUCCCGCCGCCUUCGCCCGGAGGAACAGGAGCGUGCGCGCAUGUGCCGGGUGGUGGCUAAAUCCGCUCGGGAAGGGGGAGCGCGGGCAGGGCCGCUCCGAGCCCUGCCGCCGCCGGCGUUGCUUUCGGGCUGCAGUCGUGGUAGCCUCGUCCGUAGUGGUGUGCGGGAUGCGCCGGCAUCCAGAUGUGUCGUGCAGCCAGCUGUGCCGUGUUCGCUGUGUGCUCUAGCCGUCGUUGUGCCGCAGCGCCUCGCUUACGACUUCCCCAGAGACCCCCCCNNNNNNNNNNNNNNNNNNNNNNNNNNNNNNNNNNNNNNNNNNNNNNNNNNNN
rnacentral:lncRNA from 1 species